UUCCCAGAUCUUCUUGGCUUAGCUGCUGAAGACUGACACUGCCCGAUCGCCCCAGAAGCCCCCUAGACCAUCACGGACGCCGAGCUUCGGGUAACUCUCACAGAGGAAGGUAAGCCCAUUCCCUUCUUAAUCAAUACGGAGGCUACUCAAUCCACAUUACCUUCUUUUCAAGGGCCUGUUUCCCUUGCCUCCAUAACUUUUGUGACAAUUUAUUAUGGUAGCCCUGGGAAACAAACAUGAUAAGACAUGAAAGAGUAUAUAUAACAGAAAUGAACAGUUCAGAAUAACGAUGAGCUAAACACCAGUUUAUCCAUGACCUAACUUAAGGAAGAAAAGUUACUGAUAACUUCGAAGCUCCCCACUGUGCCCCUCCCUAGUCACA
rnacentral:lncRNA from 1 species